GCAGAUAAAUUGUGUGAGUUUCUGAUAUUAAAGACAUGGUGAAAAGGAAGGGUACUUUGUUUUCUGUGGACCAAAUCAUUGUUAAUAGCCACAGCACCACUUUCAGUGAUACUGUUGAGUUUGCAUCCUACAACUACCUGAACAUCUCGUACCCAGCAGGCCAAGGAGCAACGCUGGAGUUCUUGCAGAGAUGCCUUUUCAAGAUAAACCCCAAGGGAUCGAAAGUUGAGAAGAGCACUUCAAGAAAGCAGAUGACGGUCAGUCCACAGCAUGUGUGUCAAACUCCGCUCCUGGGGGCCCACUGUCCUGCAAAGUGCUCCAGCCCGCUCCAGAAAACCUGCCUGGUAGUUUCUAGCAAUCCUGAAGACAUUGAUUAGCUGGUUCAGGUGUGUUUAAUUAGUUUCUGUAGGGCCACUGUCCUGCAGAGUUUAACUCCAUCCCUGAGUUUGACACCAUUGUUCAAAAGGUUCUUUCACUCUGAACUGAAACUGCAGACUAUGAAUAGAAGGCAUACAUGGAGAACAUUCUUCAGAAGGGAGUCCAAUCUCCCUCCAUUCAUUUGCACAGAAAUUGUAAUCAGUGUCACGCGGUCACUGCUUUGUUUAAUUGUUCGUCUUUUAAUGACUCCUUGUAAUUUAUCUGUUGACCAGUGGUCAGGUUUUAAAGGCAGACUGUUUAAUUAUUCUUCGACUUUUUUUUUCGUUUGUAAUAAAUUGUUGUAUUGUUAU